rnacentral:rRNA from 1 species
AGAAUUUGAUCUUGGUUCAGAUUGAAUGCUGACGGCGUGGAUGAGGCAUGCAAGUCGUACGAAGUUAUUAGAGCUUGCUCUAAUAAUUUAGUGGCGGAAGGGUUAGUAAUACAUGAGUAACCUGCCUUAAACAUCGGGAUAACAAGUGGAAACGCUUGCUAAUACUGAAUAAGGUGUACUUAAGGAUCUUAGGUAUAUCAAAGCGGGGGAUCUUCGGACCUUGCGGUUUAAGAGGGGCUCAUGGGAUAUCAGCUUGUUGGUGAGGUAAAAGCUCACCAAGGCUAAGACGUCUAGGCGGGUUGAGAGAUUGACCGCCAACACUGGGACUGAGACACUGCCCAGACUCCUACGGGAGGCUGCAGUCGAGAAUCAUUCGCAAUGGACGAAAGUCUGACGAUGCGACGCCGUGUGAGCGAUGAAGGCCUUAGGGUUGUAAGGCUCUUUCGCUUGGGAACAAGGGAUGCAUAUUAAUAGUGUGUAAACUUGAGGGUACCAGGUAAAGAAGCACCGGCUAACUCCGUGCCAGCAGCUGCGGUAAUACGGAGGGUGCAAGCAUUAAUCGGAUUUAUUGGGCGUAAAGGGCGUGUAGGCGGAGAAGAAAGUCAGAUGUGAAAGCCCAGAGCUUAACUCUGGAAUAGCAUUUGAAACUUCUUUUCUUGAGAUUAAGUGGGGGAAGCAGAAUUCCACAUGUAGCGGUGAAAUGCGUAGAUAUGUGGAAGAAUACCCGUGGCGAAAGCGGCUUCCUAACUUAUUUCUGACGCUGAGGCGCGAAAGCAAGGGGAGCGAACAGGAUUAGAUACCCUGGUAGUCCUUGCCGUAAACGAUGUAUACUUGAUGUAGCUGGAAUCAACCCCAGCUGUGUCGUAGCUAACGCGUUAAGUAUACCGCCUGGGGAGUACGCUCGCAAGGGUGAAACUCAAAAGAAUUGACGGGGGCCCGCACAAGCAGUGGAGCAUGUGGUUUAAUUCGAUGCAACGCGAAGAACCUUACCCAGAUUUGACAUUCAAAGGAUCGGUAUAGAGAUAUACUUUCCCUUAUGGGCCUUUGGACAGGUGCUGCAUGGCUGUCGUCAGCUCGUGCCGUGAGGUGUUGGGUUAAGUCCCGCAACGAGCGCAACCCUUAUCGUCAGUUGCCAACACGUAAUGGUGGGAACUCUGACGAGACUGCCUGGGUUAACCAGGAGGAAGGUGAGGAUGACGUCAAGUCAGCAUGGCCCUUAUAUCUGGGGCUACACACGUGCUACAAUGGUCGGUACAGAAGGCAGCGAAGCCGUGAGGUGGAGCAAAUCCCGAAAUCCGAUCUCAGUUCGAAUUGUAGUCUGCAACUCGACUACAUGAAGUUGGAAUUACUAGUAAUGGCGCGUCAGCAAUAGCGCCGUGAAUACGUUCCCGGGCCUUGUACACACCGCCCGUCACAUCAUGGAAGUUGGUUUUACCCGAAGUCACUGACUCAACCGCAAGGGGAGAGGUGCCUAAGGUAAGGCUGAUGACUGGGAUGAAGUCGUAACAAGGUA